GAACUGACAGCCACAUCUCUUGCUUAGCCGCCAGUUGGUAGAAAUAGUUGUUUAAUGGAACAACUCGAUGGAUACAACCGACAUAACGCAGCCUAGUUUUUUAAACGCCGUUCAAUCGUUUACCUUCGAGAAGAGCCCGAAGCAUCAGAGGCAGUCCUCCAUGGAUCGAGCUUGCCAAGGUCAAGAAGGACUUUUGUAACGAUGUCAUAGAGCAGACCCUCAGAUGGAGCGGGAGCUUCAACGAUUAUGCCUCUGAUAUCGCUUUCGCCGGACCAAUGCCUCAGAAGAUGGGCCUCGUUGUUCCCAUCACAUGCUAGAGGCACGGUGGUGAAUCGAUUAUGAAUGGGAGAAGAUCGGCAAUAAUUAUAAGAGUAGGAAAAACUCUAUGGAAAGGGAAAUAUCUGCACGGAACAGAGAAACGCGGCCGCCACCAAAGAGGCCCUCGAUAUCAACAGAUGACUGUGACUGAACUCAAAGGACGGCGCACAAAUAGGUUUGGUCGUAUGCUCAGGUCUAGCUCGCCGGAUAGUCGGCGUUCUUCCUCACCUAAUUGUACUAUCGUACUCCACUACAAUUAUAUA
rnacentral:sRNA from 1 species